UCUUUUAAUGGGAAUUAAUUGUUUGAUUUUUGGUCAGUGUUAAAUAGUCAAUUAUUGUACUAUCUUUUUUCAACGUCUCUUAUCAAUUAUUCAGCUAUUUUCUGGCUCAUGCUAUUUUCGACUCACCCUGUUCUCUUUUGUUGAGAGAAGCUGAAAAUGAAUCCUGUUUGUGUUUCUUGAAUUGAUGAGGUAAUCAACACUCAAUUGAUGGUUUCUCGGUAAAUUUUUUCCAAAAAUGGAUCAAGCAUUUUUCUCCAUAUUUUAGCUUGAAACAAAGAGGUUGUUAUGGCUUAUUGGCAUUACAUUUGCAGUAUGUAAAUUAAAUUAUUAGUUUUAUUAUAGAAUUGUAAUUUUUUUAAUUAUAAUUAUAGCAUGUAAAUAAUUUAUGUAAAUCAAUAAAAAAAUCAAUUCUUUU